rnacentral:misc_RNA from 1 species
AACUGAUACUACCUGCGGGAACCUGCGGAAGGAUCAUUACAUGGCGGAGAAGGUGGGCAACCUGGCCAACAUCCAGGUUGUGAUGCCUUCACGCUCUUCCACCCUUGUCUAUUUGCACCUUCUGUCGUUCCCUCGGCGGGUUUCGACCCGCCGGCGGCAACAUUGAAAAACCCUUUUUGCAGUUAGCAUUCAAUUCUUCUGAUCAAAUAUUAAAUCAUUACAACUUUCAGCAACGGAUCU